CUCAGGACGAACGCUGGCGGCGUGCCUAAUACAUGCAAGUCGAGCGAAUCUUUGGGAGCUUGCUCCCGAAGGUUAGCGGCGGGCGGGUGAGUAAUACGUGGGCAACCUGCCUGUAAGACUGGGAUAACACCGGGAAACCGGUGCUAAUACCGGAUAAUUCUUUUCCUCUCAUGAGGAAAAGCUGAAAGUCGGUUUCGGCUGACACUUACAGAUGGGCCCGCGGCGCAUUAGCUAGUUGGUGAGGUAACGGCUCACCAAGGCGACGAUGCGUAGCCGACCUGAGAGGGUGAUCGGCCACACUGGGACUGAGACACGGCCCAGACUCCUACGGGAGGCAGCAGUAGGGAAUCUUCCGCAAUGGACGAAAGUCUGACGGAGCAACGCCGCGUGAGUGAUGAAGGCCUUCGGGUCGUAAAACUCUGUUGUUAGGGAAGAACAAGUAUCGGAGUAACUGCCGGUACCUUGACGGUACCUAACCAGAAAGCCACGGCUAACUACGUGCCAGCAGCCGCGGUAAUACGUAGGUGGCAAGCGUUGUCCGGAAUUAUUGGGCGUAAAGCGCGCGCAGGCGGUCCUUUAAGUCUGAUGUGAAAGCCCACGGCUCAACCGUGGAGGGCCAUUGGAAACUGGGGGACUUGAGUGCAGAAGAG
rnacentral:rRNA from 1 species